ACUUAAUAUGGAGCACAAUUUUUUUUUUUCCCAGAAGGGUUAAAACUGAAUGUGGUCGAACUGAGUCCAGAGAGAGUGGGUUAAAUUGGGGGUUAAACUGAAGAAAAUGACCUGGAUGUUAGCUAAAUCUGCGGCUAACAGCUGGGCUAUCUCGCUCCUGAAGGAGUCCUGUUGACUCAGUGUGGGAUUUUUUUCUUUAUCUUCUCUUAUCGGGGCACUUUUACUUGUUUUCUAGGCGUUGCCAUAUUAAAUAAACAGCGGGUUUUCGUAAGAAACGAGCAGCUGUCAUCAGUCCGCGCCGCGGAAAUUCCCGGACACGCUCAACUCUCACUGAAGACGAGAAGCGAAAGCUGUUCUUUCCAGACCUUCAGCACAGAGGAAAACAGCUCCACACGAACUUCUCCAGCAGCAGCUCCUGAAGACCGAGACACGCUCCGGACUAAACACCAGAGAGAGAGAGAGAGAAGAACGAGGAAGAAAGAAAGGCUAACUGGCUGUCCUGGCCUGUCCGUGAGCAUGGCUGCGGUUAGCCUGCUGAAAGUCUACCUCCUCGGCACUGCCUUCUCUCUUCUGGCGGUUCUCUACGGCCUGGUGGACUCGGUCGGGGGUCUGAUGUUCGUCCAGGCUCCUCUCCACACGGAGGACGAGUGGACGGUGGACAUUAAAUACGCCUCGUCCUCACUCCGGACCCGGAGCACCGCCAAGAAACACAUCGGACUGUGAUCAUUUUAUGUUCUACGGAGUGUUUUAUGUUCUGACAUUUGGGGAACUGCUAUCUGUCGAUCCCCCAGAUGAGCUCUGCGCUGUAGGAGCUGAAGAUGAAGUUCCUGAACCUCUGCAGCUGUACUGAGAUUGAGUAGCUACAGGUUUUUAGCUUCAGGAGGAGGACUACCAGAGGAGCUACCAACUGGUACCUGAUAGCAGACUUGAUGGGUAAUACCAAUAAUGCCUGUUGUUACUGAGGCUACUGUUGUUACUGAGGUUGAAAUGCGCACUAAAAGAGCCAGUUCAUGUGUACAGAAUGUGUACAAAGUGUAUAGAAAUGCCCAUGCUCUCAUUGAUUGUGUUAUAGGUACAUAUUACACUUCACUGACAUACCUUAUACUUUGUUUUAACAUUAAACAUGAUUUGCUACAGCUCCAUGAUAUUUUGUUUACUUCAAAACAUUCAAUGUCUAAAGUGCAUAAAAACAUAUAAAAGUCAUGAAAUUUCAAGGCCUGGAUAAGUUUUGGAAAAUUUAAAAUACUUAAAAAUACUAGUUUUGAUAAAGUCAUGGAAAUUUGCAAUCUACAAA